CCUCCCUACUCCAGGGCAUCUCUGAGGUGCCUUGAAGAGAAGCAGUUACCCAAAAGUGCUAAUCUGGGCCAGUCUUGGCUUCCUGGGGACCCUCCAGGACCUCCUGAGAUUCUCCCCUUGAAAGACUCUGGCCCGGGGCCCGAGGGCUGGUUCCGAGGCCCCCACAGGGCUGUGGGUGUGGACACUUCUCCACCCUCUGACCUCUGGUCUCACCCAACGCCCAAGGUGCCCUCCCUCCGGUCAGAUCACGAGAAGUCAGGGCGACUGCAUUUCACAACGUUCAGCCAAGAUGUUGAAGCCGGGAGACAACGAGAAGGCAUUAAACACGGCACCUGACACGACCGGGUCUUGCGUGGUGAUCACCGGGACAGAGGACGCGUCCUUUUCAAUGUCCUCAUGAGCCCCUCUGUGUCAUGAGGAUGGGAAUACACCUGUUUCACUGAAUGAGCACUGCAUCUCAGCACUGAGGACAGUGCCCGGCCCUAACCAGGUGUCCGGUAAGACCUGUGGGCUGACGGCAGAGGCAUGAAUUUCAGCGUCCAGGAGUGGGGGCUGCUGGGCCUCACAUAGAAACAGAACAGCAGCACGUGCUGGGGCCCCGCAGUGAGAUCACCAUAUUCUCCGAAACCCCAGCUGGGCCCCCGUGUUAACAAGGCCCUUGCGCACUGAGGAGAGCCCCGGACGGAAGGGCUGGGGUCCACGCUCCCGGGCUUUCCAGGGAAGGGACAAGCCGACUCCACACCCCGAUCCCCAUCCCUCCAGUCGGCCCUAGGGCUGGAAGGUGGGUGGAACUCACGCUGAUCUGAGCUGGGCCUGGCAGGCCACCUGCCUGGAAGAUUCUGGCCUGCUGUACAAGCAACUCUCUAGUGAGGGGGCUGACCACAGAGAGCUCUGUGUGGGUGUGUGAUGUGUACUUCCUCCGUGUGGGGGCGGGUGGUGUGCAGGUGUGCGUGGUAGGUGGGGGUGCGGUGUGUGUUUUCUCUGUGUGCGUGGGUCUCGCGUGUAUGUGUUUGUGGAGUGUGUGUGUGUGUGUGUGUGCACGUUUGGGGAAGUUUCCACCAGGGCCCCCACUGUGACCUUGGUGGGUCCUUGUCACUCCUGCCUUCAUGGCCCCUUCCUCCAUAAAAGAAAAAAGUAAACAUUUUAUUUUACAACCGUGUUAUUAGUUAGUAUAAAGCUUACUGUAACCAGACUGGA